CGAGUAGUCUGAACGGUUGCACCUUUUUGGUGAGGAAAGUCCGAGCAUCAUAGGACAGUGUGGCAGAGAAAUCCUGCUGAAGGCGACUUUAAGGAAAGUGCAACAGAAAUUAUACCGCAGUUAUAUGACUGUAAGGGUGGAAAGGUGCGGUAAGAGCGCACCAGCAGUUUGGUAACAAAAUUGGCUGUGUAAACCCCACAUGAUGCAAGAUAAUGGAACAAUGAUUGGUCCGAUCGUUUCUAAAUCGCUAGAUUUUAUAGGCGACUAUAAAACAAGACAGAUAACCGUUUUCAACAGAACUCGGCUUAUAGGAUUACUCGAGAA
rnacentral:RNase_P_RNA from 1 species